rnacentral:lncRNA from 1 species
AACCAUACAUACUCAUAGACGUUUCACGUAAAUUGUCAAGGUCAAGACAGCAAAUUAGUUACCAUUCCAAUCCAGAGAUGUCGCUGUCAGUCAAUUCUCUUGUCAUAUUUAAAACUGACAGUUGACAAUUAAAUUAAUUUGUUAUUUACUUUUUAUUUUACAGUUUGUGGCUUAAAUAUUUUAUUAUAGUGGUGUUACGUUUUUAAUUAGAUUUAAUCACAAUUUUAAUCAAUUGUAUUAACCUCCUCUCCGUUUUUGUGAGUAGAAUUUUUAGUUUACAUUGAUCAUUCCGUGUUGUGUUUCUCCACAUUUAAAAAAGAAUAUAAUAGAUCCUGAAACAGUUUAUUCUAAUAGACAAGUGUGUCAUCAACAUUUUGGGCCUAUAUAUUUUUGGAAGUUUGUAAAAGAAUAUAAGAUACUGUUACAGUCCCUGGUUGGUUUAUAGGAUAAAACAAUGGUAGUACAGUAGACUCGCGAUUAUCCUAGUCUAGGUUAUCCGAGUCCUCCGGUUAACCGAGGCAAAAGUCAGAACUGAAAAAAACUAGACCCAAAACUAGAUGGAAGAACCAGAUAGUCGAGGACCUUAAGAAGAUGGGAGUCAGGGAAUGGGUAACCGUAAACAAAAACAGGAAAGAAUGGAGAAAACUUGUAGAAGAUGCCAAGUCACACAACCAAUUGUAAAACCAAAAUGUUAAUGCGGAUUGAUUCACUGCGACAAACGAAUCGGAAGAGCCCAAAGAGGGCGGCAGUCACUCCGCUAGGACUGUAGAUGCCAUGAUGAUGAUAAAGGUUUUUCACCAGUGCGAACUCUCAUAUGAUAAUUUAAACUACUUAGUUGAUUAAACUGUUUUGUUUAAUUUAGUACUUUGUAUUUUGACAACGACACCCGAUUUGU